rnacentral:rRNA from 1 species
UGCGAGAGACGUCCAGUCAGCGGCGGUAGUACGGGGGGGGCAGGGUUGUUGUGGAAUCAUUGGUGGUAAAGCUGGCGUAGGAGGCCGUGUAAGUCCGUGGUGAAAGGCAAAGGCUCAACCUUUGAAAGCCGAUGGAUACUGCAGGGCUGGAGUCCGGAAGAUGCGAGGUGAAGUCCUGGUGUAGCGGUGGAAUGCGCAGAUAUCAGGAGGAACACCAAUAGCGAAGGCAGCUCGCUGGGACGGUACUGACGCUAAGGCGCGAAAGCGUGGGGAGCGAACAGGAUUAGAUACCCCUGAGUC